rnacentral:rRNA from 1 species
UACGGAGGGUGCAAGCGUUGCUCGGAAUUAUUGGGCGUAAAGGGUAGGUAGGUGGUCUUAUUUGUCUGGGGUGAAAGCCUUGAGCUUAACUCAAGAAGUGCCCCAGAAACGGUGAGACUAGAGUCCUGGAGAGGGUCGUGGAAUUCCCGGUGUAGCGGUGAAAUGCGCAGAUAUCGGGAGGAACACCGGUGGCGAAGGCGACUUUCUGGGCUGUAACUGACGCUGAGGCGCGAAAGCGUGGGGAGCAAACAGG